UCCCUCUUGCAAUAUGUGCUUUUGAUCAUGAAACUGCUGAGAAAAGGCUCCUUCUAAACCACAAAACAAGGUUGCUGCUGGUGCUGGGGCCCGAGGAGGUCCGCGCCGGAGGAGGGCCACAGGGACUGAGCGAGUGACAGACGCACCACCCGUCAAUGCUGCAACCCUGUAAGGCCUCCAUGGACUCUCUACGUGAGUGUAGAAUGAAUCAAGCCGACUCAAACACAGCAGCUAUUCCACAUGCAGUGGAAGAUAUUCAAGGAGACGACAGAUGGAUAUCUCAGCACAACAGAUUUGUCCUGGAUGGUAAAGACAAAAAGCCUAACGUUGUGUUUGUGGGAGACCCCAUGGUGCAGUUAAUGCAGCAACACGAGAUAUGGCGAGAGCUUUUUUCCCCGUUUCACGCACUGAAUUUUAGAACUGAGGAAGAUACAAGACAUGUUUUAUAGAAAAUAAAGAGUAGAGAACUGGAGAAUAUUAAA
ensembl:lncRNA PAFAH1B2P2 PAFAH1B2 pseudogene 2